GGGGAAUUGUUCACAAUGGGCGCAAGCCUGAUGACGCAACGCCGCGUGGAGGACGAAGAUUUUCGGAUCGUAAACUCCUUUCGAUCGGGAAGAACAGCUUUCGGGUGAAUAGUCCGAGAGUCUGACGGUACCGAGAGAAGAAGCCCCGGCUAACUCUGUGCCAGCAGCCGCGGUAAUACAGAGGUGGCAAGCGUUGUUCGGAAUUACUGGGCGUAAAGGGCGCGUAGGCGGUUCGAUAAGUCCCGUGUGAAAUCCCUCGGCUCAACUGAGGAAUGGCACGGGAAACUGACGGGCUUGAGUUCGGGAGAGGGAAGCGGAAUUCCGGGUGUAGCGGUGAAAUGCGUAGAUAUCCGGAGGAACACCGGUGGCGAAGGCGGCUUCCUGGACCGACACUGACGCUGAGGCGCGAAAGCUAGGGGAGCAAA
rnacentral:rRNA from 1 species